rnacentral:rRNA from 1 species
AACGAACGCUGGCGGCAUGCCUAACACAUGCAAGUCGAACGAGACCUUCGGGUCUAGUGGCGCACGGGUGCGUAACGCGUGGGAACCUGCCCUUAGGUUCGGAAUAACUCCCCGAAAGGGGUGCUAAUACCGGAUAAUGUCUUCGGACCAAAGAUUUAUCGCCUUUGGAUGGGCCCGCGUUGGAUUAGCUAGUUGGUAGGGUAAAAGCCUACCAAGGCGACGAUCCAUAGCUGGUUUGAGAGGAUGAUCAGCCACACUGGGACUGAGACACGGCCCAGAAUCCUACGGGAGGCAGCAGUGGGGAAUAUUGGACAAUGGGCGAAAGCCUGAUCCAGCAAUGCCGCGUGAGUGAUGAAGGCCUUAGGGUUGUAAAGCUCUUUUACCCGGGAUGAUAAUGACAGUACCGGGAGAAUAAGCUCCGGCUAACUCCGUG